AUUGUGUCAGCCGCCGCGCGGUAAUACGUAGGGUGCGAGCGUUAAUCGGAAUUACUGGGCGUAAAGCGUGCGCAGGCGGUUUUGUAAGACAGAUGUGAAAUCCCCGGGCUUAACCUGGGAACUGCGUUUGUGACUGCAAGACUCGAGUGGGGCAGAGGGGGGUGGAAUUCCACGUGUAGCAGUGAAAUGCGUAGAGAUGUGGAGGAACACCGAUGGCGAAGGCAGCCCCCUGGGUCAACACUGACGCUCAUGCACGAAAGCGUGGGUAGCAAACAGGAUUAGAUACCCUGGUAGUCCACGCCCUAAACGAUGCCAACUAGGUGUUGGGGAAGGAGACUUCCUUAGUACCGUAGCUAACGCGUGAAGUUGGCCGCCUGGGGAGUACGGUCGCAAGAUUAAAACUCAAAGGAAUCGACGGGGACCCGCACAAGCGGUGGAUGAUGUGGAUUAAUUCGAUGCAACGCGAAAAACCUUACCUACCCUUGACAUGCCACUAACGAAGCAGAGAUGCAUUAGGUGCUCGAAAGAGAAAGUGGACACAGGUGCUGCAUGGCUGUCGUCAGCUCGUGUCGUGAGAUGUUGGGUUAAGUCCCGCAACGAGCGCAACCCUUGUCUCUAGUUGCUACGAAAGGGCACUCUAGAGAGACUGCCGGUGACAAACCGGAGGAAGGUGGGGAUGACGUCAAGUCCUCAUGGCCCUUAUGGGUAGGGCUUCACACGUCAUACAAUGGUGCAUACAGAGGGUUGCCAAGCCGCGAGGUGGAGCUAAUCCCAGAAAAUGCAUCGUAGUCCGGAUCGUAGUCUGCAACUCGACUACGUGAAGCUGGAAUCGCUAGUAAUCGCGGAUCAGCAUGCCGCGAUGAAUACGUUCCCGGGUCUUGCACACACCGCCCGUCAAU
rnacentral:rRNA from 1 species